rfam:Pteropus vampyrus cont1.270136, whole genome shotgun sequence.
UAGUCCAAAGGGUCAUCCCUGUUUACUGGGGCCUCAAGGAAUGUGACCCUUGAUCU